rnacentral:lncRNA from 1 species
GGACAUGUGAUGUGUCAAAGUGCACAUGAGGAUGGCUGUCAUUUUAACAAUAUUACAACGAUAGGUGAAAAUAUCAUAUGAUAUACCAUUUAAAAAAAGAAAAGAAAAGAAAGAAAUAGUUCCCCACGUGGGAUGGGGAUUUGGGGUACUCCUACCAUUCCAGACACGAACAUGAUAUAACGGAAUCAUAGAUGAAUUAGCUUAGUACAAAGGUUGAUGCAACUCCCCACCCAAAGCAUGACCCUUGAAUAUUUCAAUAGAGAGUUGGGGAACUCUUGUUGAAAUAUAUCAUAGCCGACCCGAUUUAUUACGUCAUACCAAAAUGUCCUACCCGAUUUACUAUAUCUACCAUGUCAAAAAGGACCUACCCAAUUUACUAUAUCGACCAUACCAAAAUGUCCUACCCGAUUACCCGAUUUACUAUAUCUACCAUACCAAAAAGGACCUACCCAAUUUAGUAUGUCUACCAAGCCUAAAAUAUCCUACCCGUCCAAGACGACCUCCGCCACGUGCAUACCCCCACGCAUGUCUUAAUAGCAAGCCACCACGUGCGCCCUAACACCUUCUCACAAUCCACUACUGUUUGUCGUCAUGUCCUGCACGUAUUCGAAGGGCACGUCAGACACCUCCAGCUGGGAUAACAUGGAUCCUCGACGGUCUUAUUCAUAGAUCACUCAUAAACGUUCACUAACUUAAACAUCGGAGAGAGUUUGACCGAUAUCACACCGAUGCCUUUUAUAGUGAUCUUUUCCUCUUUGUGUGUAGGUGAUCCCAUACCAUAACUUAGGUUUCGG